UCCAUGGAGAACCAUGUGGGGGUUAAUGAGGAAAACAUACCUUGGUGAAAGAUGGGAUGUGGUCAGGUGAAGCAGGAUGAAAGGAAGGAAGAAAGAUGGGGCAAGAUCAGAGAAUGUUGCUCGUGAAUCACCGGUGGAUAACUUGAAAGUACCGAUGGUGGGUGUCUAGCGAGCUGAAGUGUUUCCAAGCCAUUCGAGAUUCCAUUCCAGCA